AGGAGCACCGGAAAAGGAAAAUUUUUGAUCAGGUUGACGACUAUAUGGGAAUACAGGAAGGACGGCGGUAACCUUUUUAGCAGAUGCUGUUUUACAAGCAGAAAUCAUAAUUAACAGUUCCAUUAAAUGGUCGUUUACCUGUCCAGAUGCUGGACUAACAAUAUAAACGUCGCAACCACGAACGGACUGCUUAAUUCUCACCGAAGUCUCGCCAUUGCUGCAAUAAAUACACGUUAAUAUAAUCAAAUAGAAAAACAUAGAUAGAUGUGAUAAAGAGGUGGAAUCAAAAAUGGAAUAAG